rnacentral:rRNA from 1 species
AACGAACGCUGGCGGCAUGCCUAACACAUGCAAGUCGAACGAGACCUUCGGGUCUAGUGGCGCACGGGUGCGUAACGCGUGGGAAUCUACCCUCAGGUUCGGAAUAACUCAGAGAAAUUUGAGCUAAUACCGGAUGAUGACGUAAGUCCAAAGAUUUAUCGCCUGAGGAUGAGCCCGCGUAGCAUUAGGUAGUUGGUGAGGUAAAGGCCCACCAAGCCGACGAUCCUUAGCUGGUCUGAGAGGAUGAUCAGCCACACUGGGACUGAGACACGGCCCAGACUCCUGCGGAAGGCAGCAGUGGGGAAUAUUGCAAAAUGGGGGAGAGCCUGAUGGAGCGACGGCGCGUGAGCGAAGAAGGCCUUCGGGUCGUAAAGCUCUGUCCUAUGGGAAGAAAAGGACGGUACCAAAGAAGGAAGCCCCGGCUAACUACGUG